rnacentral:rRNA from 1 species
UACAGAGGGUGCGAGCGUUGUCCGGAAUCACUGGGCGUAAAGGGCGCGUAGGCGGCGCGGUAAGCGUGCGGUGAAAGCCCGGGGCUCAACCCCGGGUCGGCCGUGCGGACUGCCGGGCUGGAGCACUGUAGAGGCAGGUGGAAUUCCGGGUGUAGCGGUGGAAUGCGUAGAUAUCGGAAGGAACAUCAGUGGCGAAAGCGACUUCCUGGACCAGUACCGACGUUCAGGCACGAAAGCGUGGGGAGCAAACAGG